CAGUAGCCGCGGUAAUACGUAGGGUCCGAGCGUUGUCCGGAAUUAUUGGGCGUAAAGGGCUCGUAGGCGGUUUGUUGCGUCGGGAGUGAAAACCCAGGGCUUAACUUUGGGCUUGCUUUCGAUACGGGCAGACUUGAGGCAUUGAGGGGAGAACGGAAUUCCUGGUGUAGCGGUGAAAUGCGCAGAUAUCAGGAGGAACACCGGUGGCGAAGGCGGUUCUCUGGCAAUGUUCUGACGCUGAGGAGCGAAAGUGUGGGGAGCGAACAGGAUUAGAGACCCCAGUAGUCCCUGUCUCUUAUAU
rnacentral:rRNA from 1 species